rnacentral:tRNA from 1 species
GCCUGGAGAGCUCAGCCUGGAAAGCAUCAGACUUUUAAUCUGAGGGGCCAGGGUUCAAGCCCCUCUGCAGGCA